rnacentral:tRNA from 1 species
GGUGAGGUAGCUCAGCUGGUAGAGCAAUGGACUGAAAAUCCAUGUGUCGGCGGUUCAAGCCCGCCUCUUACCA